GGACGAACGCUGGCGGCGUGCUUAACACAUGCAAGUCGAGCGGUAAGGCCCUUUCGGGGGUUACACGAACGGCGAACGGGUGAGUAACACGUGGGUGACCUGCCUUUAGCUCUGGGAUAAGCCUGGGAAAACUGGGUCUAAAUACCGGAUACGACUCCGCGGUGCAUGCUGUGGGUGAAAGCCUUGUGCGGCUGGAGAUGGGCCCGCGGCCUA
rnacentral:rRNA from 1 species